GCCAAGGUUGGCAAUUGACUAUACCCCACCCUCCCGCAACGUCUCACACCCCUAGCUAUGCUCCCACCCCCCCCCCCCCCCCCCCCGCCCACUCCCCCUCGCGCCCACCAUCCCCCCCCCACUCCCCCCCCCCCCCCCACCCCCUCCCCCCCCCCCCUCCCCCCCCCCCCCACACGCGCCCCUCUCACCACAUCACCCCCCUCCCCAUCCCCCACCCCCCCCCCCUGCCUCCCCCCUCCCCCCCCUCACCCACCCUCCCCGCCGCCCCCUCCCCGCCCCCCCCCAUCCCACCCCCCCCUCCCCCCCCCCGCCCCCCCCCAUCCCCCCCCCCGCCUCACCGCCCCCCCCCCCCAUCCCCCCCCCUCUCCCCCCCCCCCCACACCCCGCCCCCCCCCCCCCGUCCGUCCCCCCCACACUCCCUCCACCCCCCCCCCCCCCGCCACCUCCCACCGCCCCCCCCCCCCCCCCCCCCCCCCCCCCCCCCCACCCCUCCCCCCCCCCACACACCUCCCCUCUCCCCCCCCCCGCCCCUCCGCCUGCCUCCUGCCCACUCCCCACCACCCUCCCCCCCCCCCCCCCUCCCCCCCCCCCCCCCGCCCCCCCCACCCCCCUCCCCCACCCCCCCCCCCCUCCCCCCUCCCCCCCCCCCCCCCCCACCCCCCCACCUCCACCCCCCCCCCCCCCCCCGCCACUCCCUACUCCACCCCCCCCAUCCCCCCCCCUUCCCCGCCGCUCCCCUCCCUCCCCCCCCCACCCUCUCACCCCCCCCCCCCCCCCCCCCCCCUCCACCCCCCCCCCCACCAUCCCACGUCCCCCCCCCACUCCUCCCCCCACCCCCCCCUCCACCCCCCCCACUCCCUCCCCCUCCCCCCACGUCUCCCCCCCCCACGCCCCCCCCCCCCCCACCACCCUCCACCCCCCCCCCCCCCACCAACCCCCCCCCCUCCACCCCCUCCCCCCCCCCUCCCCCCCCCCCCCCCCCCUCCCCCCCCCUCACACCACCCUCCCCCCGCCCAAAACCACCUCCCCCUCCUCGCCGCUCCCCCCCCCCCCCCCACCCCCCAUCCCCCCCUCCCCCCCCCCCUCCCUCCCACCCCCCUCCCCUCCCCCCCCUCGGCCCCCUCCACCCUCAUCCCUCCCCUCCCUCACCCCCCCCCCCCCCCCCCCCCCCCCCCACCCCACCCCCUCCAGACCCGCCCCUAUCACCCACCCGCCCCCCCCCCCCCACCCCCCCCCCCCCCCCCCCCCCCCCCCCCCCCCCCCCCCCCCCCUCCCCCCCCCCCCCCCUUCCCCUCCAUCCCCACAUUCCCACCAUCAGCACACCACCCCCCACCCCAAA
rnacentral:lncRNA from 1 species